UAUAUGUAACAAUUCUUUUAGAGUGACGUGAGCAGCGAGGACGAUUUUUUAAAAACGAUGAUGAAACUAGCCGAUUUGCGGAAGUUGCAAAAAAGAGAUAAGAAAUUAAAGAAGAAGAGGAAGGAUUUAAAAGUACAAAGUUUUGGAGACUCUCGAACAGAAAAGAGUACAGGAGGAAAAGUACGAGGAGGAGUACGAAAAGAAAAGAAUGGAGGAGAAGCGGCAAAAGAAAGAAAGAGAGGAUGAGUACGAAAAGAAAAGAAUGGAGGAGAUGCGGCAAAGGAAAGAAAGAGAGGAUGAGUACGAACAGAAAAGAAUGGAGGAGAUGCGGCAAAAGAAAGAAAGAGAGGAGUACGAAAAGAAAAGAAUGGAGGAGAAGCGUCAAAAGAAAGAAAGAGAGGAACUUGAUAAAAAAAGAAACGAAGAGAAGGAAGAGUUAAAUAGAUUCCUAAAUCUAAAAAAAUAGAGAGAAUGAAAGUAAUAACAACAAUUAUGAUGAAGGAGAUAAAAAUGGUUGGAAGAUGAUUUCGAAAGAUUCGAACAAAUGAAUUCAUUAUAUAAAGUAAGAGAUGAGUCACACGAAGAAUUUGUAGAUUGUAAGAAGCAACUAGAUAAGUGUGAGCGCUGCAAAGGAUGGUUGAAAAAGAAAGACGCAGCAUAUAAAAGGAGAGAAAGGUGUUCUGCACAACUUAAAGAACUUCAAAUAUCAUAAAGUUUUUAUUUUUUAUUUUCAGACUAUUUUUUCUCAUUUAUAUUAAAUUUUUUUUCAUUUAAUUUUUUUUUAAA